CUCUUGGGCGCCGCCGCGCUGGGCCGAGUCGUCAGUGGUGCCGCAGGCGGCUGCCGCUGCUGCAGCUCUCAUGGCGGCCAGCGCCGCGGCUUGCUGGGCAGCGAUCUGCCGCUGCUGCGCGUUUGCCAGGCGGAUUUACCAGGACACGAUAUUGUCUGAAGAAGGGUCUCGACCCGAAACGUCACCUAUUCCUUUUCUCCAGAGAUGCUGCCUGACCCGCUGAGUUACUCCAGCUUUUCGUGUCUAUUACUGGAACAUCUCAAAUUGAUUUGCGCAGGUAUUGGAGAGGGUACACACAUAAUUGCUGUCCAUGCUGAGACCAAUAACAGGCAACGUUUUAUUUGAAAAUCCUAGGAGCUGAAUUAAAGAAUGAAAAGAUGAAACAAAUUAUCAAGUGGAAGAGGACAUCAGGAUAAGAUCUUUUAAAGGAAAAUGCAACAGAGCUAUUCUUGUGGAUAUGUCAAAAUUGUAAGAAUUCAGAUUAAUUUUACUGUUGUCACAGACUAUGCAUGGGCUAUGGCAGGUAGACCCAGACAGGGGCCUGUGUUUGAGCACAAGAAGCUCACUAAUGCAGAGAUAAGUAUGCUGUUUGCUUAUCUGUAAAAAUGAGCAAGCUAUGAGGGCUGAUUCCAUGGCUAAGAAGCUGCUAAGUAACAAUGCUACAGAUUUUUGGAAGGAAGUGAGAGCUCUUAACAGUUGCAAAACAUCUCUACCAUGCACUGUAGAUGGAAUCUCCGGAACAGCUAAUAUCGCGGAGUUAUGGCGACAACAUUAUAGUACUUUAUUCAACUGUGUCCAAGGUGACUUGUAUAGGGUGGACAAUAUUGAGAGUAAUGACUCGAUGGCGAUUAUGUCACAUGAGGUGUAUCAUGCCAUGAACAAGCUGUCCAACAACAAAGCAAGUGGCUUGGAUCAUAUUUCUGCUGAACAUCUUAAGUAUGCGAGCAUGAGGAUAGCUCCUCUCCUUGCUAUUUGUUUUACUGGCUUUAUGAUUCAUGGCUUGUUACCAGACUCAAUGUUGUCUGUUCUGUUAGUGCUGGUCAUUAAGGACAAAGCUGGUAAAGUAGGCAGUCUAAAUAAUUACAGGCCCAUAGCUUUAGUCAGCAUAUUGUCAAAAGUUUUAGAAAGAGUUCUGCUGGAUAGAAUAAAUGAGUUUGUUAACUCCACAGAUAACCAGUUUGGCUUUAAAGCUAAACACGGCACUGACUUAUGCAUAUAUGCCCUAAAAGAGAUUGUAAACAAAUAUAGAGGCAAAAACUCUUCAAUCCUUAUCUGCUUUAUUGAUGCUUCCAAAGCCUUUGACCGUGUUCAUCACAGAAAGCUGUUUGGUAAAAUCAGUCAAAGAGGGGUGCCUAAAUACAUUGUAAGAAUUCUGCCCUCCUGAUAUGCCCACCAGACUAUGCAAAUAAAAUGGGGCAAUAGGGUCUCAGCCCCAUUUGGGGUUAGCAAUGGUGGAAUUUUAUGCCCAGUCCUUUUUAAUCUAUAUAUUGAUUAUCUGUCUAAACAAUUGAAAGCCUGUAAUACUGGGUGCGUGAUUGGAAAUAUUUUAGUGAACCAUAUUAUGUAUGCAGAUGAUCUUGUGGUCUUUAGUCCAUCUAGCGCUGGUCACCAGCAGCUCCUUACUAUAUGUUCUGUGUAUGGUGUGGAACAUGAUAUUAAAUAUAAUGCUAGUAAGAGUGCUGUUAUGAUCUGUAGAACCAAAGAGGAUAAAUGUCUAAAAUUUCCUGAUUUUAAAUUGUCUGACAAUAAUCUUAGUGUCUGUAAUAAGGUAAAAUAUCUAGGGCAUAUUAUUACAGAACAAAUGACAGAUGAUUAAUACAACGAUACAAUUUAUUUGUUGUCAUUUGAACCUCAUUGAGGUUCAUUGAGGUUCAAACGAAAUUUGGUUUCUGCAGUCAUACACACAAGAAAAAGAACCAAGACACAACACAAUUUACACAAACAUCCAUCACAGCGAAUCUCCUCCUCACUGUGAUGGAAGGCAAAGUCUUACCUCUCCCCUGCACUCCUCAUUCUCCUCCCAAUGUCAGAGUCAAAGCCCUCGGCGGGCGAUGGUAAGUGUCCCGCAGCCAUUAAAACCGCGCCAGGUGAUGCAAGGCCGCGCUUCGGGUCUUGGUGUUGGAGCCCCCGCCGUGGGCUAGCAAAUCCAACGGCCGUUAAAGCCGCACCGGGCGAUGUAAGGCCCCGCUCCAGGUCAUCCUCAACCCCGCAACUACAGCGGGAGAAAUCGCCGUUGCGGAAGCCCCGAAAAGCGGUCUCCCAGCAGGGACCCGUGGGCUCCCGGUGUUACCGUCCACCAGACCUGCGGUUGGAGCCUCCGAAUCUCUGGGGUUGGGCCGCAGCAGCGAGCCACCACAGCUCCUCCCGCUCCGAACUCGGCCAGCUCCACGAUGGUAAGUAAGUCCGCAGCUCCGCGACUGGAGCCUCAGGUCGUUCCGGUUGGAGGCUGCUCCAUGGUGCUAGGCCCCAACGACAACGGUGACCCGACAGAGAAAAGGUCAGGUUCUCCGUGCAGGGGAAAGAUUUUUAAAGUUUCCCCACCCCACCCCCCGCUCCCACACACAUACCCAGUUUUAAAAAAUAACACUUUAAGCUACAUUCAAACAAGACAAAAAAUAAAAAACGACAGACGGACUGCAGAGGCCGCUGCGACGUGAGUCACUCCGAUGAUGAGGAUAUUUAUUGGCAACAACGCAUGCUGUAUGUACAGGCGAAUAUUCUCUUGCGUAAAUUUGGUGCGUGUGCAGAUGUGGUGAAGAUGUCGCUAUUUAGAGCAUACUGCACACCACUCUACACUGCGCACCUGUGGUCGAACUAUGGAAAGACAAGUUUGCAGAGACUAAAGGUGGCAUAUAACGAUGCCAUGAGAACACUGCUAAGGAAACCUAGAUGGUGUAGUGCCCGUAAUAUGUUUGUGGCUGCAGGAGUCAGUACUUUAGAAGCUAUCCCAAGAAAUCACAUGUAUAAAUUCAUUUGCAGGAUAAAUGACUCUAAAAAUGUAAUUAUUACAGCCUUGUCAAACAUAAGGGUUAGCACUACACGCUAUGAAUCCCAGCUGUGGAGACACUGGUAUCAUUGUCUCGUUGUAGGACAUUGAUCAUUCUUUCAAUCUGAAUUUUUAACUCAUGUAUUGGGUUUUUAAAAAUAUAUAAUUUAUGAUGCUUUUAUAAGUGAUAUACUAAGAUUUUAUAUAUACUUUAUGGUUUUUUUUUUAAUAUGCAAUGCAUUUUUUUAAAUGUAAUGUUGCCCCUUGUCUGGACCUCGAGUCCGUAAUAAAGUUUAUUAUUAUUAUUAUUAUUAUUAUUAUGAUUAUUAUUAUUAUGUCCUUCGUAGAACCAAGAACAUGUUCUGCUCUGAAUAGGUAUUGAACACAUCCUUCAAACAUGCACAUUGUACUUCUAUCUGGCCAGCUCUAUCUGUGAUACUACUGGUCAAUUAAAUCUUGCAAUAUGUAACUAGAUGGAAUGGAGAGAACUAUAAUAGUAUGUAUUUACAUUUUAUAUACUGGUGCCUCAGUCAAACAUUGCAACCUCAAGUAAAAUAGAGACAGGACCUUUGGAGUGAGGCCCUGCAUUCCACUUCAAAUUAAUUUCAUGAAAAACAUCCUGAAAUACCCUAGUGUGAGUUUUCCAUUCACAUCCUAGAUAUUCUUUGGACAACUCUGAAGCAGUUCAAAUUUAUUACAAGUUGCGUAUUGCACUGUUAUAUACUGCAAACAAAACUAUUUCCUUAAGUAAUUCAACUGCCAAUGGAAAUGUGAGAAUUGCUUUCAAUUAUUUAAUACAUUUCUUUGAAGUACCAACUAGAAAUGAUGUAUCAGUCGGUUUGCUUUAACAUUUAUUUUAAUAUUUCAAUACAUCCAGUAUGAAAUGAAAUUGUUCGUCAAACUAUUUGAUCUAUUUUAUAAUAACAAAGUAUCUGGAAAAAUUCUCCACACAAUGCUGCAACUGUGAAGGCAGGAAAAUAAAGCUAAAACUUCACAUCAACGCGCUAUACAGAAAUCUCAUCAACGUGAAAUAUUGACUUUAACUUCCUCUCUCCACUUCUGCUCCCAGGAUUGUUGUGCAUUUCCAGCACUUUCUGAUCUUAUUUUCAAUUGUAUCAUUAUAAUUGAUUUUUCUAAUUACUUUUCGGAUCGGGACCCUUCCUCAGUCUGGGGAGAGGUGUCGAGCCCGAAACGUCAGUUUGGUACUAACAGUUAAGCAUCAGUUUGGUACUAACAGUGAAGGGUCUCGAUCCGAAACGUGACCCAUUCCUUCUCUCCAGAGAUGUUGCCUGUCCCGCUGAGUUACUCCAACAUUUUGUGUCUACCUUUCUAAUAACUAUUUUGGUUUCCGUGCUACUUAUUUGAUCUUAUGAGGGAAUCAAAUAAAUUGUCACAAUAUGUUUUCUAAGCCUGUCAAAUAAUAUGACUACAUUGUUCAGCAAAUUAUUACAAAAUUACACUCAUUGUCCUUGACACUCCCUCACCGUUUAUUGUUUGAAUUUCAAUCCUUCAAUGUGAUUGUAAUGAGAUGCAGUGGAGCUUGUGAUGUUCAGGUUUGCUUCAUUUUAUUUGCAAUUUACCACACAUAUAAGGUUUUUAGAAAACCCAAAUGUUCAAGUACAAUUCUAACGUACAGCAGUUGCGAUUAGAUGAUCUGCUUUAAUGAAAUCGGGCCUAUUCAAUUCCAGAAUUAGUUAAAUAAUUUCCCCCACAUAACUUCACUGUGAUCUUUUUGAAGAAUGUUUCAUCAUGUUAAAUUAAGGAACAAAUUAUGAUACCAGCUGCAAGAAAUACAAUUCAUGCAUAUAAUAACUAUGCAGACAUGAUUAUAAAUAAUUAAUUUUAAGACAAGUGAUUGAACCAGACAAAACAAAAUGAGAAGAAUGUCGGAAGGAACUGCAGAUGCUGGUUUAAACCAAAGAUAGACACAAAACGUUGGAGUAACUCAGCCGGACAGGCAGCAUCUCUGGAGAGAAGGAAUGGGUGAUGUUUUGUGUCGAGAUCGUUCUUCAGAUAUUUUUCAUGGCACGCCCUUUGUUUCGUGGCUUAGACAACAUUGACAGUUAAAAAUGGUAAUGAAUUUGAAUGUGGUAAUAGAGUCAGUUGAUCGUUACUGGGCUAUAUAAUUUGACUUGGCAAACAGGCUAUCGUGUAGCAGAAAUCAGAAAGUGACUAAAAAACAGGUUAUGCCUGCAAAUAAAACCAGGCAAUUGACACAAUAUUCAGAGACUAGAAUUGAAGUGCACUAAUGUUUUUUUGCAUUUUCAUCUGCAAAGAUAUAUUUAGAAAGUUAUUGUACAGGUUCCUUUGAAUAAUAUGAUGGUAAAUAAAUGACCUCCCAAGGCCUUCUGAAUGUUAUAUCAUCUAAUGCAUAAUUUGAUGAAAAAGACCAGGAGUUAUCUCUGACAUUUUUCAAGACUUCUUUACUGAUAAAGCAAUUUGUGGUUAGAUAAACAGCCACUGCCUAAUGUUGAUACAAUUGUGAAUGCAGCGCUUAACUGUUAGUAUAUAAUAACAUGUUGUUCCAGCUGUUUUUAAAUAUUAUAUAAUUGUAUUAUUAACUAUUAAACAUUAUUAGCAAUAUAUUUUAUUUAAUUGAAAAUAAAUGAUUGUUACCUCUGACUCAUUGAUCAUUCAACUUAUAUGAUCAAAUCAAAGAUCACAAGUAUUAUUUUGGAACAAAAGGCUCGACGGUUAAUACAAGAUUCAGAUAUCACAAUCUACUUGUUUAUCAUGAUUAACACUAUCUCUGUCAGCUGCAUAGCUUUGGCAAUGAGUCUUUUAUUGCAGCCACCAGAAUAAUAAUGUCACUAUCACUGAAUUUACAGGAUGGAAACAUUCGGAUAUCUCUGAUGCUAAUGGUA